CAAAAACUGUAUUUGCAAAAAAGUAAAAUUUGCAGAGUAAAAUCUAUGUUUUUACAACACCAGUGACAUUUACAAAAACGGUGCAGGUAGUCGCUCGCAUGUCUGACAAAACAACACAUCAACAAAAUCAGAUAUUCAACAAGUCAGUGGAAAUCUGAACAGGCCGUUUGUUGUAUUCCAGUCAGUUACUCGUUCGCUGUGGAAACCAGAGGAAGGUCCUGCAGGAGUUUUCCCAAGAAGCAGGAAAACUUUUAAAAACGAUGCCUCAAAGAAAGGCACUGAACCCUGAACCCUGUUAACAAAAUGAUCCACAGGACGCCUCUGACAGAUCUGUAGGAAAAUUGAAAGUUAGCAGCCCUGCUUCCUGAAAAAAAAUCCUUUUGGACCGGACCUCUUCCCUGGCCCCAUCAAUCAAUCAGAUGUCUGUGAGGAAUGUCAGUGAGAGCUGUCAUUUUAAGCAUGUUUAAAUGAUGAAGACCCCUCAGAUAUGUGAGAUGAGAAGAGGAUAAAGCAUCAUGGAAGUGUCUUUCUCCCCCAUCACCAGCGGUCCAAGCGUCAGAGUCAGUUAGUUGUCUGUCAAGUAGUGGCUGUAAAUGUUAAGGCAUGAAAUUGCGACGUGUCUGCACACACAGCAGUACAAUCUGGUCCACGGACACGUAGUUACGGCUACUUAAGCAACAUCUGGCACACCAGAUGAACAAGAUUCACAUUGAUAAAGGACAGCUGAUCAAACGGGGGUGAUACAAAAAACAGAGCGUCUUUACAACAUGACAAAAAACUGUCACCAGACUAAAAGGGACUCGAUCUGACCCGGGAUCAGGGCCGCUGUUUGGGACAAUUAAAAAAACAAAACAAAAACUCCACACACAACAGAAAGAAAAACUUAAAAACAGCUAUGAACAGACUCCUGCGCACUAACAUCCAAAAACAUAUUUAAUUUACUUGCAAUGUUUCAUAUUAGACCUUCAUCGUGGACAUGUUUCUGUUCGACUCACGAACCAGACGUUUCUACUGCAAGAAAAACACGUGAAACGUUUGCAGAACAAAGUUAAAAAUUACGAGACUGAAGCCGUUGGUCUCGUGCGUGCCAGUUUCUCUGUGCAUCGCAGUUUUGAGGGCAGUGAAGUGACCGAUUAAACCAGAAAGCACGAACUAAAGCAAAUCUAGGUUAAGGUGUCAGUGAGCCACAAAAUUCAAACCUCUCACAGGUGACCUGAACACGUUCUGCUCCUGGCAGCGCUCCCCGACAGCUGCCGUCUCUCACAGCUGGACACAGACUUCUUGUUGAGCUGAAGAAUUUCUUUUGGUUGUGUUAAACAAACACGUUUCUCAGUGUUGGGAGAAUCUUGUUCUUGCAUCAAUUCAUUUAAUCAAUAUUUUUAAAUUAAUAUUUACAUUUAAUCUUCUUCAAUACAGUUUGAUGCUGAUGUCGCCUCCUGCACUCGCUGGAAUGAGUGCACGUGUGGAGCAGCGACUCAUCCAUGAAACGAGAGCGAUUCUGACUGCUGCUAUUGUUUUUCAGUUUUUUAUCAUUGAUGAAAGUGUGUGAAAGGCACGAUGAAGCGUGGAGGACAGGCAGGUGAGACAUUUUACACAGAAAAACAGACUGGAGGAGUUAAGGAGAAGGAGAAAUGAGGGCAGAAGCUACGACCGUGUGCAGCUUUUGUGGUUCAGCGGAUCCACGCUUGGUCAUGGGUUUUGGCUGAACAGGUGAACGAGGCUCUCCUGCUGGGGAAGCCUCCUGGAUGUCCUCCCCUGUCUCUAUGUGGAAGAUGAUAGCCUACACUGUUCUUCCAGAGAAACCCUAGGAGGCAUUGGAAGAGCAAGCAAACAGCCAGGGUUUAAACCCAUGACCUUCUGAUGUGUUAAAAGCUGAGCCGGCCCGGUGCCUGAUCCACAGAGACCCCAAAGAACUGCUGCCAGACAUGCAGUCCUACUCUAAAUCGUAUAAAAGGUUCUAUUUCCACUGGCUAUCUGAAGAAAAAGCCUCCUGCCCAGACAGACCAGAGCUGCCCAGGAUGAGGGACGAGGUUUAAGUGGUUUUAAUGUUGGGGCUGAUGUGGCUUCAAAACAAACAAUUAAGAGUUGGACUCUUAUUCUGCUUUUCCAGUGCCCCCAGUAUGAUCCAGUCAUUUUAACCAGCAACUUAUAACAGAUUAACAAAGUUCAGCAGGAAACACAGCCAAUAAAAACCCAACAAGAAUCAGCGGCAUUAGCAGGAGGCCAGUCUUCGUGUUAAUCAGUGUGAAAACGUGCAGUUUAAAGCUGAAUUUAGAGGCUGAUCUGGGAUCGAUACACAAAACAGAGAACAGCAAAGUUCAGAGUGUUUCAAUCACUAAAUAAAGAUUGUCAUCCAGUCCGGCAUUUCAUUCCUCUUUUGCGCACGGUGACUCAUUACCAGCCUGCUCCACUUUUCACCACAGAACAUCCAGAUGAUAAUUUACAGCCUGGGAAGCUGCCAAGAAGACAAAGUACAAAACGCCUGCGAGACGUUUCAACUGAGCGGAUGCUUCUGAAGAGGAAGGAAAAAAAAAAAAAAAAAAAAAAAAAAAGAGCGGCAGGGACGAGGUUUACAAUUAACCUACGUUCAUCCUGUGGUGGCACAAAAACAUGCAGAUUGAAACCCGGGCAUGGAAAAUAUCGUAACGCACGUUUUCAUGGGGUGGAAAUUAUUCUUUUUCCGCCUCCACUUUUAUGAAAAACUGCAGGAAGGCAUGGGCACAUCAGUGCUGAGCGCCUGAAGCUAAAAAUUCAACACAUUAUUAUAUGAUCAGAGGUUAAAGCGGCUGAAAGAAAGCUUUUCCCCGAGGUUAAGGUGCCGCCUAACGGAGUCUGCAUCUUCAAUGUAACCACAGAAGAAAAACCGUGAAACUGUGCGGGGUGAUGCUGCUCUCACUGAGAAAUCCUUCAGCCUGCAUCAUGAAAGCAGGGUCGGUUCUGCUUUCCUUAUAUACUACCACAUCUGUGCUGUCAGGGCAGUGGAUGUUAAACCUGCAGAAAUUCCAGGUUUUAGCCUGUGCCAAAGAAAACCAGGGUAUCAUUAACACAGGCGUACGGUUUUUGUUUAUGAAAUGGUCUUAAGUAAGCUGAAAUCACACAUUUCUACCAGUGAAGGUAACGCAGACCCUGCUGACAUGUUCUCACGUGCGUAAACGCUCGUUUUAAGACUGGAAAAAUCCCUGAAAACAAGGCCAAAGUUUCAAAUAUCGAGCAGCUGCUUCCAAACACGUUUUGGCCUCCAACCAAAGGAAAAUCACCAGGGUUGUAUAAGCUGUUGUUUUUGUUUGUUUUUUUUAAAGCUGGGGUUUGUUAAAGAUUAGAGGACCUCAUUAAGGAGUUGGACACGUCAGCAUCAGUGCGGAGGCUCUACUGGUCUGCCGCCUGGACACCAGGAGCAGGUUGUCUUCUUUUAUUGUUGUUAUUGGCAAACAGAAUAAAGGCUCACUGAUGUCACAUCUGAUAAAAACCACAGAAGCAAUCCAGUGUCAAAAACAAAGCUUUACACCUGCGUUCUUCUAAAUGUCCAAAAGGGGGCAGCUACUCUGUAUAGAGGUCUUUUUUGUAAAGAUUUCAUUUUUAGAGUCAGAUGCCGAUUAUCCAGUUUAUGCACAGUCAGACAUCUUUUAUAUACAGUCUAUCGCUAAAAAAAAGGGAAGGCGUGAAUAAUUUAAAACUAUUUUUUCACUGAGCAGUCAAAUAGUCAUCCAAACUGUCACAUCUGUUCCCCGUUUCUCACCCUAUUAAAGUGGGACAGCCUCGAACACUGAGCUGGAUAGUGAAUGAAAUGAUUGGUUAAAAAAUUAUUCUUAAUCAGAAGUUAGCUCCACCCCCUGUAACCCAACUAAAACAGCUCUUCUCAGAUGGAGGAUGAACUGCACCCUGUGUUAUUUUGGACUUGCAAAAUACUCCAGCAGUCCUGCGCAGCUGGAAAAGAGGGUGUCAUUUUAACCAUCUUCAAACCGCAGCUAGCUGUGCUUUGCAGAAAUGAUAAACAAUGUUAGGAAACAAUGAGCUUGAACUAAAACCUACUUCCUGCUUCGACGUGCUUCUACUCUGUGCUGCUGCUCUUUGUACAAAGCUUCAAAUAUGUCAGUUAGACAGCUGCUGCGUCAGCAUGGUUAACAAUACAUUUAUGUCAAGUACAGUAAAUGUGCUAAAGGCCACCCAAUCAUACACCUCCAGGAGUGUUUCCAAAAAGCAGAAGGCACCUGUAAGUGUGCUACAUGUUUCCCUGUGUCCAUCGAUUGGAAGUAUUCUGGGUUGGCAGUUUAUAAAAAGCCACCUGACCGAGUUCUGGUCGGAUGUGGAGGCUGAACUGGAAGACAAAGAAGGAAUGGAAACAGGCUGAGAUAGGAAUGCGUCUGCAGGUUGUUUAUCUCCGUCUCCCUGCAGGGCGCUGGAACACAGCAGAAGCAGCUUUCCUUCCAUCGUUCUAAGAACGACUGCUCACAGUCACACACUGCACAGAUCUCAGAUGGGUAGUUAAGUCUGAAAAUGUCAGCCUGACCCCCUCAGAAUCAGCUGACUGCUUUUUUUUUUUACACCAACUUCAGUUUAUGGAAUGAAGCUGUGCAACAUUUUACCUUCAUACUUUCAGAGUUACAGCCCCUAACAGAGGCUUGCUCUUCAUUAAAAGUGCAAAGUUUUGUACUCUUGAUGGUCUGCGACGAAAAAGCU
ensembl:lncRNA